GAUGAACGCUGGCGGCGUGCCUAAUACAUGCAAGUCGAGCGAACAGACGAGGAGCUUGCUCCUCUGACGUUAGCGGCGGACGGGUGAGUAACACGUGGAUAACCUACCUAUAAGACUGGGAUAACUUCGGGAAACCGGAGCUAAUACCGGAUAAUAUAUUGAACCGCAUGGUUCAAUAGUGAAAGACGGUUUUGCUGUCACUUAUAGAUGGAUCCGCGUCGCAUUAGCUAGUUGGUAAGGUAACGGCUUACCAAGGCGACGAUGGGUAGCCGACAUGAGAGGGUGAUCGGCCACACUGGAACUGAGACACGGUCCAGACUCCUAAGGGAGGCAGCAGUAGGGACUCUUCCGCAAUGGGCGAAAGCUUGACGGAGCAACGCCGCGUGAGUGAUGAAGGUCUUCGGAUCGUAAAACUAUGUUAUUAGGGAAGAACAAAUGUGUAAGUAACUAUGCACGUCUUGACGGUACCUAAUCAGAAAGCCACGGCUAACUACGUG
rnacentral:rRNA from 1 species